GAAAACAAGAAUGUUAAUAUGUGUCCACCCUAACGAGAUGUUCACAAGAACAAAACAGCAACUUUUGAGCAAGCCAAGGUCCAGAGAGCGCUAGUAACAGCCAACAAACUUGACACAAAGCGACCUUCACCACACCUGGGUAUCUUGGAUGCUCGCUAGGGAACAACCAGUGGCCCUUUACCAGCAAGAGGAAGCGGACAGCAGCGCGCAGACAGGCGCGGGAGGAGAGGCGACCGGAGCCUACUGCUCUCGCACUCUGGAAUGUAGCCAUGAUGCCUGCAAAGUGUUACUAUCACCCAUGACCAUGAGGGAAAAGUCAUUUGAAUAACAGAAAUGAGAGCCUUGAUAUCUUUGAACCAGCAGUAACAACUACCUCUCCCAAACCCACUUGACAUGUAGGGAAUUAAACCUCUGUUUGUUUAGAGCAAUCUCAAUUGUGUUUUCUGUUACCUGAUACUGGAA
rnacentral:lncRNA from 1 species